rnacentral:rRNA from 1 species
AGAGUUUGAUCCUGGCUCAGGAUGAACGCUCGGCGGCGUGCUUAACACAUGCAAGUCGAACGAAGAUGCCGGAGUGCUUGCACUUUGGCAGACUGAGUGGCGGACGGGUGAGUAACGCGUGGGUAACCUGCCUUAUACAGGGGGAUAACAGUUGGAAACGACUGCUAACACCGCAUAAGCGCACGGUAUCGCAUGAUACAGUGUGAAAAACUCCGGUGGUAUAAGAUGGACCCGCGUCUGAUUAGCUUGUUGGUGAGGUAACGGCCCACCAAGGCGACGAUCAGUAGCCGGCCUGAGAGGGUGAACGGCCACAUUGGGACUGAGACACGGCCCAAACUCCUACGGGAGGCAGCAGUGGGGAAUAUUGCACAAUGGGGGAAACCCUGAUGCAGCGACGCCGCGUGAGUGAUGAAGUAUUUCGGUAUGUAAAACUCUAUCAGCAGGGAAGAUAAUGACGGUACCUGACUAAGAAGCACCGGCUAAAUACGUGCCAGCAGCCGCGGUAAUACGUAUGGUGCAAGCGUUAUCCGGAUUUACUGGGUGUAAAGGGUGCGUAGGUGGUAUGGCAAGUCAGAAGUGAAAGGCUGGGGCUCAACCCCGGGACUGCUUUUGAAACUGUCAAACUAGAGUACAGGAGAGGAAAGCGGAAUUCCUAGUGUAGCGGUGAAAUGCGUAGAUAUUAGGAGGAACACCAGUGGCGAAGGCGGUCUGCUGGACAGCAACUGACGCUGAGGCGCGAAAGCGUGGGGAGCAAACAGGAUUAGAUACCCUGGUAGUCCACGCUGUAAACGAUGGAUAC